GUGGGCCAUGACUGCAGCUCGUGAAUGAGAGGCAAGGGUGUGACCCCAUUGGGGAGGCUCCUCUUUGAAGAAGUUCAGCUGUGAAGUGAGAAGAAUUAGUAAAAAGAGGGUGCAAGAUAUAAAGAGGGCUAUUAAUCUCUUUUCUUGAGAGCACAACCCUAUGCUGUGGGGAAACAGCAAGUAGAAAUUGUUUGAGAAAGUCUCCUGGGGAAAAGGGAAUACUGUAUCCUGAGUAUUGGUGGACAAGUUUAAACUUGAACUGAACAAAGGUCAAGGCUGCACUGAGAUUAACAUUACCACCAGUACCACCAUUUGUUACUUUCUUACAUUUUGCCAAGAUUCUUCUGAACACUUUUUUUUUUUUCCUUCCCCUCCUGAGAUGUUGUUUCACUGUGUUGCCCAGACUGGUCUUGAUCUCUGGGUUUAAGUGAUUCUUUGCCUUAGUCUCUCAAGUAGCUGGGACUACAGAUGUGUACCACUGAGUUCUGCUGAGUACUUUUAAGUCUUAUUUCAUAGGGAUAUAAUGGUUAGAGGGAUUUGAUGAGAUUUUGGGAGAUAGUUGGGCUUUCUUUGAGCUUUGUUUUUUCUGAGAAGAAGUUGAAAUCAUCUGUUAGGAGCAAGUGAGAUAGUGGGGAGAGUGGUAUGGUUUCAUAAAAAACUCUUGUGCCAUUGGCUAUGACCUUGAGAGACAUGUAAGAGGAUAGCUGAGCAGUGCUGAAGACUCACCCAAUGUUGGAGAUCAUUAAUUUAUAGAGGAAGCAGCCCUCAUUACUAAUGAUUAUUUCAGCAGUAUGAAACAAGUGGAGGAUUAAAGCUGAGAACAUCUGCAUUCAGAUAGAAACUGUGUUGUACAACAAAUAGAAGAGGAGAAAUAAAUGUGGCCUAGAGUAUUGGUGGGAGAGUGGUUGUCCUUUAGCUGACUAGAGAAAGAAGUGAAUCCAAGAGAGUUCUGAUGGUGGCACAGUGGUGGGGAAGGGCCUGGAAAUCACAGUGAAGUUAAAGAACAGAAGUUAUAGAAGCAAUGAUGAGAAGUAGAAAUAGAGGAGGUCAUGAUCAGGCAAAGGUUUGACUUGAGAUGGAAAGGCAGACUGUGACCAAGUCCUUGAUGACCAGGAGGUCAGCAGAUGACAGCAAUGAGUAG
rnacentral:lncRNA from 1 species